ACCCCUCCCAGAAAGGAGCCUGGGAACUGCAUGGCCUGGGACAGGGCCUCACCAGGGCGGUGCCCCAGCCACAGCCCCAGCCCCUCCGGGCAGAGGAGAACAACAAGGUCUACGGGUCUAUGUAUUGCUGGUGCCAAACAAUAAGAAAAACCAGCAAAACACUCACCUUGGUCCACAGACAACACCCGCGUCCACGUGGUGGGUGGGGCCGGCUCCGUCAGAGGAUGGGAAGAUGAGAAGUGCUUAUCACCGGGCCUGGAGAUGGGGACCACCCAGGCAUGCAGGGGACGCUGCCUCUCCUCCAUCCAACAACAAGCCUGCCUGUGCCCAGCCCCCUCUGGUACACGCAUUGCUCCACAUCCUCAGCAUUGAUUGAUUGAAAAUAAGACCUUGGAAGAACCCCUUGCAAAGCUGACAUCGUACGAGCCAAGGCAGCAGCCCCGGAGAGGGUCAGCGAGGGGCCUCCACUGUCUGAGUCUGCUCCUGGCAACGCCUGCUCUCUGCACUCAGAGGCCCUGUCCCGGCAGCUGCCACGUUGCUCAGAAGUUCUGGCAGGGGGAGCCUGAAACCCCUGUCUGCUGGCGACACUCCCGGAGCUGCAGGAAAUCUCUACAUUUUAUUUUUUUUCUUAACAGACAAAAGUAUUUGACUCCAGAAUGAUUUCCAGGAAUUACAGUAUGAGAACUUAGUCUUUGAGAUUUUUAUUUUCUUCUUAAAAAAAUAAAAAUGAAAUCAAAGCAGAAGACACUGGUUGAGCAGACAGCACACUGGCACAUUCCACUUCGCAACAAAACCUGCGUGUUUUCUGCCUGGUCUACCUCAGACAGGGAUGAUGGGCUUAACAGCCUUUCCUGUGGGGGGUUCAGGGCGGGAGGGAAGGGCUGGGGUAGGAGGGGCAGGCAGAACCUGGAAACUGCGCCCCGUUCUUUCUUCUCAGAACUCCAUUGCCAGAGGGCUUGGAGUGCUUCUCAGGGAUCUGGCAUCUGCUUCUCCUCUGCCCCUCGUUCAGAGUUCUCACUGCAAGAAAAGCAGGGAAAAGGCUCAAAAAGCCCUUCAGACUUGGAGCCAUUCCAUGGUGAUGAUUGAACCACCAACCAAAGGUGCUGGCAGGGCCAUGGCGAGAGGCACCUUUAGGAAAUCUCACACAACCCACACUGCUCCCCUCUCCUGCAUGGCAGUGACCCUCCCGUAAAAGGGUACAGCCUGUUGUCCCAGCUUUGCAACUGGGAUCAGCCUGUUGUCCCAGCUUUGUGACUCCAGGUGGGCUCCAUGCCCUCCGGGGCCUCUUCGUCCUUGUCAGGCCAGUGGGGGUCAGAGGCCGUAUUGGCUUCCUAUGAAUAUUAAAUGGGAUUCUCUGUGGGGGAAGCUUCCAUAAGGCAGAAAGGGGUCCCCGGUUGCUGGCUAUUAGUGUUAUUUUCUUUUAAAUCAUCUGUGCUCCUUCAAAGACGACAUAAGAAGCUCAUGCCCUGGCGUUGCAGAAAUCUCUGACUGUAGGGAUUAAACCUACGUGUCUUCCUGAUGGGGUGGUGAGGAUGUAAACGGUGAAUAGUGCCAGCCACGGGGAGCAUUGCAGAGAGUAACCAAGUGUGUGAUAGACAUGCUGUUGUAUGUGUGUAAACAGCCAGGAGACCAAUGCUUUUGCCUGAGUGACCUCUGCAAGGACACAGAAAUAAAAUACACAAAAAAGUUGGCACUGA